GCCAAGGGGCCGCUGGCAAUUCGUAACUGCGGAGGAUAACGAAGACUGGGCAGGCCCGCGUAGAAAGCAAGAGGUGGAAGGUGUCCCCAGCACGGGAAAUCUCUUUGCGGAGCCUCCUGACGCAGCGUGCAAGUCCACGGCGCCGGCUGCGAGGGGAGCCGCUGUACUCUCUGUGAACACAGCGGGCAUCCCCCCCAGCAGAUCUGCAGAGCGUCGUGGUUCAUGGGUAACCAAGGUGCCCCGAAAGGAUGAAGUCGGGAGGCUCACAACCAUCUAGGCUCAGGGACGCAGGUCUGGCCCACGCAUCCAGUCAGGUGCUAGCUGGGAUCUUCUCACAGGUAAACUGUCACGUGUCUCUGGGCUCUCUGUUCUGUUUCACUGGCCUCUUGACUCUUCUGCCAGUGCCACAGUGCCUUGAUGACUGGAAUCUUCAUAGUAACUUUUUAAAGCUUCCUGUCUUGAUAUUUACUUAGUUUAUGGUUACAAAGUGUCUUUCCUGAAUAUAAUUUUAUAUGCUACACACAUGCAGUACCCAUGGAGGCCACAAGAGGGAGCUGGAUUCCCCCCCCCCCCCCCCACGGAACUGGAGCUACGGAGGGUUGUGAGCCAUUGUGUGGGUGCUGGGCACCAGACCCAGGUCCUGUGCAAGAGCAGCUCUUGCUCAUAGCCAGUGAGCCACCUCACCAACCACCUCAUUCCACCACACUCCUUCCCGUUCUUUCUUCUUUUUUUC
rnacentral:lncRNA from 1 species